AACUUAUUUCUCCUUGCAGAUCUGGUUUCUCCUUGCACAGUUUCGAUUUCACCACCAAAACUCAUUUCUCCUUGCACAGAUCUGAUUCAAGCCCAGAAACAUCUGGUAAAGUGGGAGGAUUUUCAUGCGAUGGAGAGGGAAAGCAUGAGAGAGAAUAAUAAAUUUUUUUUUGAGGGAUGCAUGAUACCUUGCCAUGUUUGAGGGAGAGAGAUUGUUCAAUACCAUUUUGGGGGUUGUGGGUGGGGACCGGUUGGAGCAUGUGUUUUCAAAAAAUGGUCCCUCAAAAUGACUUUUCUCCAUUUUAGGGGACCGGUUGGAGUUGCUAUGAUGAUAUUAUUAUAAUAUCUAUAAGACGAAACUCACAUGUCCAGAUAAAUUCAAAUAUAUAAAUUAAAUUCAAAAAAGUAUAUUGUAAACGAUUUCCGCUUCAGACUCUUGGGUCUUCAAACGUUUGGUCGUCUUCUUCGAAAUUGAAUCUUCCUGAAAUUGGGUGCAUGUAUUUAUCAAUAUGGAAGCCGAAAUCGAAGCCAACAGUCAAAUCCAAAGUCGAAGUUGUGUUCGAUCAUUGAUAGGUACUAGACGAAGACAACAAUGAACAACCCAGAGAGCUACGAAAUUACAUUACUGGGAUGCUCCAAUUGAGGUUGUUGCUAGACAUUGGAUUUGGUUUGAUCUGUUUAAGAAACAGGGCAGGGCUCGACAUGUAGUCAUACGGCACCGUAUUUGGAGAGGAUGGCGAGUUGUUUGUCAUACGAGUCAAACUUAUUUUGUUUAUGCUCGCCAGUGGCGUACCUGAGUUUACAGGCGCCCCGGGCGAGCUCUAGAA